UACCCUGUGAAGGCUUAAUAGUAAGCAAAAUUGGUAUAACCCAAAACGUCAGGCCGAGGUGUAGCGUAUGAGAGGGAAAAAAAUGGGCUACAUUUCCUAAAAUAGGAAAUACGAAUAUUGUACUGAAACGUACAUUUGAAGGAGGAUUUAGCAGUAAGCAAAAAAUAGAGUGUUUUGCUGAAAUUGGCCCUAAAGCGCGCACACACCGCCCGUCACUCUCCCCAAGCUCCCUUCUAACUAUAACUAAUAACUUAAAUUUGCAAAGGGGAGGCAAGUCGUAACAUGGUAAGUGUACCGGAAGGUGCACUUGGUUAAU
rnacentral:rRNA from 1 species